UGCCAACUGAAAAGGAAUUAAGUUGUCGA
rnacentral:piRNA from 1 species